CUUCUUUUUCUCCACUCAUUCUCAGCUGAGCAACCGGUAAACUCGCCAUUAGCUACCUCUUAGCCAUCAACCAUGGGUCGCAUGCACAGUCGUGGUAAGGGUAUCUCUGCUUCUGCCCUUCCAUACAAGCGCACUCCUCCCAGCUGGCUCAAAACCUCCCCUCAAGACGUUGAGGAUAACAUCUGCAAGUUCGCAAAGAAGGGCUUGACUCCUUCACAGAUUGGCGUCAUCCUUCGUGACUCUCACGGUAUUGCUCAGGUCAAGAGCGUAACUGGCAGCAAGAUCCUUCGC
rnacentral:misc_RNA from 1 species